GCCUGGGUGGCUCAGUUGGUUAAAUGUCUGACUUCAGUUCAGGUCAUGUUCUCAUGGUUCGUGGGUUCGAGCCCCACGUCAGGCU
rnacentral:tRNA from 1 species